GGCUACGAGGACGAACGCUGGCGGCACGCUUAACACAUGCAAGUCGAACGGAGAAUUUUGGUUACUAAGAAUUCUUAGUGGCGGACGGGUGAGUAACACGUGAGCAACCUGCCUCUGAGAGAGGGAUAGCUUCUGGAAACGGAUGGUAAUACCUCAUAACAUAUCGAAACCGCAUGAUUUUGAUAUCAAAGAUUUAUCACUCAGAGAUGGGCUCGCGUCUGAUUAGAUAGUUGGUGAGGUAACGGCUCACCAAGUCGACGAUCAGUAGCCGGACUGAGAGGUUGAACGGCCACAUUGGGACUGAGACACGGCCCAGACUCCUACGGGAGGCAGCAGUGGGGAAUAUUGCACAAUGGGGGAAACCCUGAUGCAGCGAUGCCGCGUGGAGGAAGAAGGUUUUCGGAUUGUAAACUCCUGUCUUAAAGGACGAUAAUGACGGUACUUUAGGAGGAAGCUCCGGCUAACUACGUGCCAGCAGCGGC
rnacentral:rRNA from 1 species